rnacentral:misc_RNA from 1 species
CCUGCACUGCACGCAGUGGGGUUGCAGUGUGCUGAACGACGCCAGACGGCGUUGACCGGCCCGGCUCCUUUAUGAAUCCUCGAUGCCAGGCUGAAUUUCGCAAGAGACGCAGUCCACCACCACAGGCCGGUAGGGGAUUCGCUCUCCCCGGUUUUUGGCAUUUCGGUGUAGCGAGAGGAAAGAAGCUUGGCUGUCGCGUUUCCGUGCUCGUACACUAGAACAUGCGCGCAGGUGUGGGCCCUCCCCCUGUUCCCAAGGAUGAAGUUGAAGCAGAGGUGCACUGGCUUUGCUGAGGUGACCCUGCUAACCGCAUAAACCCUCACGUACGGCGAUACACCUAAAAGUGACCUCGUCGCACGGGAAGUUCUCUCGAUGAGGUGCCAGGUGACGUCGCUCGCAGUCUUCACGCUGUCGCAGUGGAGGCCAGCUCGCGCCGCCCGAUACGGGAUACGAAACGAUGACCCGACCGGGCCCGGGCCACUCCUGCACGAUUGUCUCAAUGACAAAUGCUUGGUGUGCGCGGGCGGUAACGACACCUCGGCAUCGCACACCGCAGAUGGGGCCACGGGUACGCCACCCUGGCGCUCGACUGCCUCAUUUGUAAAUGGGAUGCCGCCACGACAACGCGGUCCAGUUAGCUGCCCGACAUGGGAGAUAUGGCCCGGCGCCGCCAGUGAUGGCUAGCGCCGAAUCGUACUCCUUCCAGGAAGCAAACUGGGAAUUUUAUUGCAACCCUAUUGCGAAAUCGAUCCGCGAAGAGCGUGCGUGCCACAGCAGCACAGAAACGAAGACGCGCGAGCUUCAGAGCGCCGCGCUGGCCCCGACUGCCACGGCAGCCCGAAAGCGCACCAGGGAGCGGAUGCGAAUCGCCCAUGCAAUCACACACAUCACAGAUACACAGCACACACACACGUAGAACCGCAAAGUAUCCCGCAAGGAUAGCGCCGAAUUCGCGACUACUGCCAACAACAAUCAGGAAGGUGAUCCCUUCUAGUGAAGCUGUUCAACGGCGGCUUUAGACGCCAUAGCUGACGCGAUUGAAGGCAGCUCUUGGGAAAGCACCUGCGCGUCGCUCGAGUACCGCCCUCCCUCGGACAUGCUCAUCAAAAAGCCGGCCCUGAAGAUGGACGCAGUCCUGCAACCCCCUCACCCCCAGCGAUCCUUGAUUAUGGGCGCGCAUCCAUGGCCCCCGCGCACUACACACACCGGCGGUGAGAGAGGGCGUCCGCCAUGUGAGCGCGCAAGAGCAGACCAGCGUAUUGCGUAAGGUGCGCCAGCAGAAGCCGAGCCGGAAUCCGGAAGCCUCUUCCCGCGCCCCUGCUACGUGGAAAAAGGGGGGCGCCUUUCGCCCCUCCUGAAGUUUCCUACGCCCGAUGGUGGACCCGCGCCCCGCCGUCCCGCGGCGCUGGCCAGCGAUCUGCGCAAGCCGCCCGGAAGAAUGGUCUCGCGACGACUGCGCGAGCAUGUGUGGGACAGGCUCCGAGCACAGCCGUCUGGCCUCCGCCCUCGCGGCUCCACUUUGGACUCCCUAGAUUCGCUCCCCCGCGGCGCGGCCCAGCGCCAGCCACACACCAAGGUGGGCACGGCGCUUGCGGACCACGCCCGCGCGUUCGGCCCGGCAGGUCAGGGCGUUGCCGUCACGGCCCUGGGGAAGUUCAAUGUAGGCCCGCGUCUUCCCCGCUGGAUCCUGAAUUUCUCAGACGGUCGUCGUGCCUGCGCUGGCCUCCGCCAGAGGAAAUCCGAGACGGCCAGGCUACCAUGCGGAGCCCCAGGGGGACCAGCCCGAGGACCCCUUCAUCACUGCCGUGGGCCCGCUGAGCCCGGAGCCCAGCAAGACACCCCGGCCUGCACCGCGCCUUCUUUUGCCGGUGACACCACACACCCCGCGCCCCCACCAGACAAGGGGGUCAUGCGGGCCACGCCGCGGCCCGCCCUCUGGAAGGCGCGGCGCUGGACGCUGCAGCGCCCACGGUGCUGGGCGCGCCCUCCACCCUCAAAACGGGACGCGCACCCUUUGGCGCGCGACACCAACACCAGCCGCAACCCCCGCCGCACGCCCGCACUUACAAGGGGAUCGGCGCCCCUGCCUUCUCGGCGUGGGCUUCCCGCCAACGCGCGGCGUUGGCCAACACGUUUCAGAAGCCGUCGAAGUAGCUACCGUUCGGCUUGCGAAGCUCGAGGCGGUGUGCUCGCACGAAUGGCGCCCGUCAAGGGGUCUUCACCGUUCUUUGUGCAUGGUGCGGGUGGACCAAAAGCUGCUCUACGGCGCCGCCGUGCGGCGAGGUGGCGCCGGAAAAGGCGGCAUGACCCUCCUUCGCCCUCGCGCCAAAGCGGCCGCACCCGCCCUCACCCCCGCACACUGACGCGAGCGGGCUACCCUGCGCACUUGGCGCGGGAGGUGUACACACCGGGCCGCGGCGUUGCCACAGGGGUUCGGCAGCCCUCGUGCGGGCAUGCAGGCGCCAGCCCUUUUGGAGCUUCGCACGCACACGGCAUCUUUCGUCGGCAGCGGUCGUGCUGAGCGGGCUGCCCCCGUCGGGCGUCUGAGGCUGGUACCCUGUGCCCCUUUCAGGGCGACAAGCCGUGACCUUUUCGCGCUCAGGCAGAUGCUUGCCCGCGGCCUCUCCCUCAGCACACCCACGCCUGGGAAAGGCGGGCGGAUGUAGGGGAGGGGACAAAAGGCCCCUGCCGCUGCAGACGCAUAGCGGCGUCCCGGCUGUUGCGGCGCGUGCGGGCAGGCCAUCCACACACGCCCCCACCCCCGGCGAUAUCGACGGAAAUGGAAGAUGAUGGGGGCCAUCCCCCGACAACGACGUCGCCCGGAAACAUGCCCUGAAGCGCCGAGAUGCGGGCGCUGCCGUGCGCGGCUGGCGUGGUGCAUCGCACCAAAACAAAGCGCGCGGGCGUGAGAAGCGCACGGCGGACGGACGGAAAAGGCGCGAGCGUCUUUGCGCCAGUCAACCUCAAAGUGCGUGCGUGCGAGGCGUGCGGCGCCCUCUGCGUCCGGCCGGGUGGGCCGAUGUGGCGCAGACGCCGGAAGCAUGACGAGGACACCCCGGGCCGCACCGUCGGGUGCCCCGGCCUCCAGUGCGGGGGGUCCCCGCGCCAUGUUGUGGGAUGCCGCGGCUUGGGGCGGCUCGGGGGGGGUGCUGUGGGCGGGCUCCCUCCCCGCGCAUGCCGGCCACAUGCGCCUUGGCCACCCCUCGCCGACCGCCCGGCGGACGCGAUUGCUUUCGUUCUCGAGCAGAACCCUGAAUGCGACCCGCUGGGAUCAGAGCAUGCGGCGGCGCCAGGUUCGUGCGGCGCCAAUCGCGCAGCGCGUGUCCCGGCAAGGGGCGGGGCAGGACAGGAAAGGCCGGGUGGACGCAUGACCCGCACAGAGGGGCAGACGGCGUGUCCUAGGCGACAAGGCUUUAGCCGCGGCAAAAGAGAGGCAGACGAGCCGUGGUUGUGCAUGCGUAUGCAGGUUGUCUGAGGCGGGGUCCCGAGUAGGCGUGCGGAAAAAAGGUGUGCUCUCUCAAUGCCCGCAUGAGUUGUUUUUUCUUUGUAUUUAGUGGCUGCUGUUGUUUUCCUCCUCUUUCUUGUCGAAAGCAACUCCCUGUGUCCGAGUUGCGAG